AUUGAACGCUGGCGGAAUGCUUUACACAUGCAAGUCGAACGGCAGCACGGACUUCGGUCUGGUGGCGAGUGGCGAACGGGUGAGUAAUGUAUCGGAACGCGCCCAGUCGUGGGGGAUAACGUAGUGAAAAUUACGCUAAUACCGCAUACGAUCUAUGGAUGAAAACGGGGGAUCGCAAGACCUCGCGCGAUUGGAGCGGCCGAUAUCAGAUUAGGUAGUUGGUGGGGUAAAGGCCCGCCAAGCCAACGAUCUGUAGCUGGUCUGAGAGGACGACCAGCCACACUGGAACUGAGACACGGUCCAGACUCCUACGGGAGGCAGCAGUGGGGAAUUUUGGACAAUGGGCGAAAGCCUGAUCCAGCCAUUCCGCGUGCAGGAUGAAGGCCCUCGGGUUGUAAACUGCUUUUGUACAGAACGAAAAGGUUUCUACUAAUACUAGGAGCUCAUGACGGUACUGUAAGAAUAAGCACCGGCUAACUACGUGCCAGCCGCCGCAGUAA
rnacentral:rRNA from 1 species